UGAGCAACCUGCCCUUAGCUCUGGGAUAAACCCCGGGAAACCGGGGCUAAUACCGGAUACGAGUCCGAGCGGCAUCACGCGGACUGGAAAGUUUUUCGGCUAAGGAUGGGCUCGCGGCCUAUCAGCUUGUUGGUGGGGUAACGGCCCACCAAGGCGACGACGGGUAGCCGGCCUGAGAGGGCGACCGGCCACACUGGGACUGAGACACGGCCCAGACUCCUACGGGAGGCA
rnacentral:rRNA from 1 species